AGAAACUUAGGAUAAUCACCCAAACCGAAGGCCUUCAAAGCCUUAAAUAAGAGUUAAACCCUCUUAGUUUCU
rnacentral:tRNA from 1 species